UUUUUUUUUUUUUUUUUAAUACAAGGAGGUCCCUCUCAUAAGAACAUGUUGGUCCAGUCUUGCAAUCUGGCAGGAUGGUUCUUUCAACGUCACGCUCUGGAAAGCCAGCUUCACGAGGAAAGCAACAGAAAGUAUCAUUUUACUUCUGAGGAGAUGAGCUCUCACUCACCUUCCCGUCCCAAGGCAUCUUCCAGCUAUUCCUCUGAAAGGACAUCCCUACUCGCAGACGGGUUUUCCCGGGCACACUGCUCACACCGCGGCUCCCCACGCGCCCAGCUCUGUUCUCUCAGGACGUUUCAAACAGUAACUCCAGGAGCUAAGGGGGACUUGUAGCUCCAAUGUGGACAGACACUUACGGAGAAGCGGCCGUGGAAGGAGAAACUUCAGGAAGACAGUCUGAGUCAUGCUGAGUUAUAAAGGGGCGUGACUUUCUCAGCAGACACACAGGGGCGACACGUUCCUGCUUCAGGCACACAUCCUUGCCCACGUGCACUUGAUGUCUGGAACAAGCCUCUUCUGUGCAGAGGGGCGUGAUGUGAAAAUCCACCCCCACAGGGACCCUCUGGAGACAGGAGCGGCCACAGCCCAUGGCAGACUGAGAGCCCAAGAGCCACAGACGAGCUGACCGCCAAGGCCUCAUGGAGGGUAGAUGGCUCUCCAUGUGUGUGUGGCGCAUGUGUGUGUAUGCACGUGUGCGUGUGUGUAUGCACAUGCAUGCUUGCACACAUCUGUGUUCUUUCAACCUGAGAACUCGCUUACUCAGAAACACACCAUACCUGGAGGUAGACAAGUGUGUCCCGUUCCAAUACUACUACGGAUAAAACACACACCCCCGUCCCCAUCAACACCAGCCUGCUGAUGAUCCCACGACCUGACCACCGGCCCUCUGGCCCGACCAGAUGCAUCCUUGUCCCGCGGUCCAGGACAGGACUCUGCCGUGACGGUCAGCUUCUCCACCGUACAGGCAUUACUGCAGACUCGGAGCACGCUUGGAAAUCCUUGCUGAACCCAGAUGGCUCUGACGGCUGUCUGCCAUCCCCGUCUCUGAGGACAGGUGGAUGUCCUUCCUUCCCAGCACGGGACCUCUCGCCACCACCAAAGCACAUGUGUCCUCCACUGACCAGCUAGGGAAGGGGCGGCAGGUCAAGCCAGGGUUCCAAUGGAAAUGGCAGCCUGUCUGCACCCCACUCAGGACCCUCUCUUCUGUCCACACGGCCUUGACAUGAUGGGCAAAACGACCUUUCAUGCGCUCUCAGAAUGUGUUCUAGCACGAACUCGCAUCUCGUCUGAAAUGACGCCCUCAGUGACACCUGAACACCCAGCCUCCGCCCAGCCUCCUUGCUCGAGGCAGAGGGCCCAACUCUUGACCUGGAGCCAGGGCUCCCCGCAGUCACGGAACAUCAAGCAGAACUGGACGUCCACACCAGAGAGCAGAUAUUUCCUCGGAGGGCAGGACUCUAUCACAACUCCGGGAGAUCCCAGGGCAGCCGCGGUCCUGUGGGGCCUGAGAUCAGGAUGCUGGUAAACCGCCCACAACGUGUACCAGGAAUGGAGCGUCAGAGUCCCGCAGACAGGAGAAGAACAUGCGAGCAAACCAAGACAUGGGGGGUCUGACAGCCAUGCGGCCUUCCUGGCACUGGGCCCGGGGGGCUCACCACUCCCAGAGAGCGCAGUCAUGUGGAAAUCACUGGAAUCUCGUCUUCUCACCGCUGUCAAUGGAGGACGAGGAGAGAGUCCACUAACAAACGUGAAUGAUGCCCAGAAAACAGUGGGCUGCACUGCUGUGCAGGAUCGCACCGGCCGUUAACACGUCUGUCAAACGCAGCAGGUGGCAAAAUCACCCAAAUGUUGAAGGAUGCUGAAUUCCCGCUCAGGGGUUACAAGAAUAUGCUUCGACCCCCCAAUUAAGUCCAAAGUACGAUCAGGGCCACAAAUGCGAGCAGACCACUGGCCAUCAGGCGAGCGUGCUGGAGCUGAACCUGAGGGCCCAAAGCAACACACACGAGACGAGAGGUGAUGGUUCCGGGUGGCUGGUGAGUCGGCUACCAGCCAGUAACAAAAAAAGGGGGGGAAAUCUGAUCGUGCCAUCAUCCUCUCUUUUUUAAUAAGCCCAGUAGUUCAGGAAAUGCAAGUAGAUGACUUUCUUCUGUUACUACUCAGGGCUAGAGCGUUUCUGGAUUCAUACAAGCAGCAUCUACUUAGACCAGUGCCUGGUACACAGCAGGCACUCAGCAAAUUCAAGGUCCUCUGCAGGUCCCAAAUCCAAGAUUCAGUAACAGUGUAAAUGCUCACUAUCGAAGUGCAAGGAAAGCAAUGCCAACUGCCACCACCACCCAGGAGGGGUUCUGGCGAGGCCGUCCAGAGGCCCACAUUCUGGGUCUAAUUACUCAGAGAGUCAAUAGAUACUGACUGAGGGGUAUUCACACUCCAGGCUACAUCGUCGGCGCCAGGCGGGGCUCACACCUGGGUAAGCUGCUGGCUCUUUCACACCCCACCUGCACAGGCGAGGGGCUGGCUGCCUCCCUCAGGGCUAAAGGACAGUCCUUAGCCCGCUCCUCCUCGGACACUCUAGUCAAAUGCUUUCCCCCAGAUCCAGAGAUGAGACAUACCAGCUCCCCCUUUCACCCCAUUUGGCAUUAAAGUAUCUUUCAGAUUAAUAUCAAAUUUAAUAUUUUCCUUCGGGCCUCUAUAUUCAUUUUCAAAGUGUUUUUGUCACAGAAGAGCUUUCCAGUCGUUCGUGGUGAGCCUGCCCUGGCCACAUGAAAUGACCGCGACUACUUCUGCCCGCCGCCAGGCCACGUGCCGCGUGGGGCCCCACGGGGGAGGAACGUGACUGGAGGUUUCCGUUUUCCAAACUCAGAGACUCCUUCGUACAGAUUCAAAUCAAACCGUUCCAGGACUUCAAUCAAGUGACAAUGCACACGAUUACUGGAAUAAAAGGGAGGAGGUCUGCACCAGUGCGUGCACAUCUCCUUAAAAGGAACUGCAGGCUCCACACGCUUAAGCUUCUAGAAUGACCUUUGGGUGGAAACACAGGAACCAGAGAGGCAGGGUGCAUGCACGUCCCAGCCCCCGGCAUGCACACAAGGCUACUACGAUCCCCCUCGUUAAAGACUCACCCAAUAAAAACCGAACCCUUCCCUGUGCUGACACAGACAGACCUUUCCUCCACACGCGUGGAGAUGAGCAACAUCCCAAAGUUCCUAAUUAAUUGAUCCGCCGCGUCACUGCUCGCUGCACAACGACAGCACCUCCCAGAAGGGAAAGUGCCGCUGUUGCCAUCUCUGAGGGGCUCUGUCCCAAAAUGCCACCCCAGGAACAGGAGUGGCAAGCGAGCAGAAAAACAAAGUUCGUCUUACUCAUAUGCAAACU
ensembl:lncRNA